AGAGUUUGAUCCUGGCUCAGGAUGAACGCUGGCGGCGUGCCUAACACAUGCAAGUCGAACGAAGAUGCAUUUCAGAUCCCUUCGGGGUGACGAGGUGCAGACUUAGUGGCGGACGGGUGAGUAAUGUAUGAGCAACCUGCCUUCAAGAGGGGAAUAACAGUCGGAAACGACUGCUAAUACCGCAUAAUAAAGCGUAGUCGCAUGACAAUGCUUUCAAAGGAGCAAUCCGCUUGAAGAUGGGCUCAUAUCUGAUUAGAUAGUUGGUGAGGUAACGGCUCACCAAGUCUGCGAUCAGUAGCCGGACUGAGAGGUUGAACGGCCACAUUGGAACUGAGAUACGGUCCAGACUCCUACGGGAGGCAGCAGUGGGGAAUAUUGGGCAAUGGGCGAAAGCCUGACCCAGCAACGCCGCGUGAAGGAAGAAGGUCUUCGGAUUGUAAACUCCUGUCGUUAGGGACGAUAAUGACGGUACCUAACAAGAAAGCACCGGCUAACUACGUGCCAGCAGCCGCGGUAAAACGUAGGGUGCAAGCGUUGUCCGGAAUUACUGGGUGUAAAGGGAGCGCAGGCGGACCGGCAAGUUGGAAGUGAAAACUAUGGGCUCAACCCAUAAAUUGCUUUCAAAACUGCUGGCCUUGAGUAGUGCAGAGGUAGGUGGAAUUCCCGGUGUAGCGGUGGAAUGCGUAGAUAUCGGGAGGAACACCAGUGGCGAAGGCGACCUACUGGGCACCAACUGACGCUGAGGCUCGAAAGCAUGGGUAGCAAACAGGAUUAGAUACCCUGGUAGUCCAUGCCGUAAACGAUGAUUACUAGGUGUUGGAGGAUUGACCCCUUCAGUGCCGCAGUUAACACAAUAAGUAAUCCACCUGGGGAGUACGACCGCAAGGUUGAAACUCAAAGGAAUUGACGGGGGCCCGCACAAGCGGUGGAGUAUGUGGUUUAAUUCGAAGCAACGCGAAGAACCUUACCAGGCCUUGACAUCCCUUGCAGAGGUAUAGAGAUAUAUCCGAGGUUAUCAAGGAGACAGGUGGUGCAUGGUUGUCGUCAGCUCGUGUCGUGAGAUGUUGGGUUAAGUCCCGCAACGAGCGCAACCCUUGUGAUAUGUUACUAACAUUGAGUUGAGGACUCAUAUCAGACUGCCGGUGAUAAACCGGAGGAAGGUGGGGAUGACGUCAAAUCAUCAUGCCCCUUAUGGCCUGGGCUACACACGUACUACAAUGGCGUCUACAAAGAGCGGCAAGCCUGUGAAGGCAAGCGAAUCUCAUAAAGGACGUCUCAGUUCGGAUUGAAGUCUGCAACCCGACUUCAUGAAGCUGGAAUCGCUAGUAAUCGCGAAUCAGAAUGUCGCGGUGAAUACGUUCCCGGGUCUUGCACACACCGCCCGUCA
rnacentral:rRNA from 1 species